AGAACGAACGCUGGCGGCAUGCCUAAUACAUGCAAGUCGAACGAACUCUUCGGAGUUAGUGGUGCACGGGUGCGUAACGCGUGGGAAUCUGCCCCUUGGUUCGGAAUAACAGUUGGAAACGACUGCUAAUACCGGAUGAUGACGAAAGUCCAAAGAUUUAUCGCCAAGGGAUGAGCCCGCGUAGGAUUAGCUAGUUGGUGAGGUAAAGGCUCACCAAGGCAACGAUCCUUAGCUGGUCUGAGAGGAUGAUCAGCCACACUGGGACUGAGACACGGCCCAGACUCCUACGGGAGGCAGCAGGUAGGGAAUAUUGGACAAUGGGACGAAAGCCUGAUCCAGCAAUGCCGCGUGAGUGAUAGGAACGUCCGUUAGGUUAGUAAAGUCUUCCUUUUACCGAGAUGAUUAAUGACAGUAGUCGGAAGAACUAACG
rnacentral:rRNA from 1 species